GUCUGUUUGGAGAUAUAAAAGUCUGGCCUGCCCGCUGAUAUUUAAGUUUAAGGGCCGCGGUAUUAUGACCGUGCAAAGGUAGCAUAAUCAUUAGGUUUUUAAAUGGAAUCUUGUAUGAAUGGUUGAACAAAAGAAAAGCUGUCUUUAAAAUAAUAUUUGAAUUUAACUUUUAAGUGAGAAGGCUUAAAUAUUCUAGGGGGACGAUAAGACCCUAUAAAGCUUUAUAUUAUGGCUAUAUUUAAUUAAAUUUGGUUAAUAAAAGUUUAAUUUAAUUAUUAUAUUAUGUUGGGGAGAUAUUAGUAAAAUUUUAGAUAACUGCUAGAAAAAGAGACAAAUAUAAGUGACUAAAAUAAUAGGAGAUCCUAAGUAUAGAUUAAAAGAUUAAGUUACUUUAGGGAUAACAGUGUAAUUUUUUUUGAGAGUUCAUAUCGAAAAAAAAGUUUGCAACCUCGAUGUUGAAUUAAGAUAUCUUUAUAAUGUAGAUGUUAUAUUAGAAGGUCUGUUCGACCUUUAAAUUUUUACAUGAUUUGAGUUCAGAUCGGCGUGAG
rnacentral:rRNA from 1 species